rnacentral:rRNA from 1 species
CCUACGGGCGGCAGCAGUGGGGGAUAUUGCACAAUGGGGGAAACCCUGAUGCAGCGACGCCGCGUGUAGGAAGACGGUCCUCUGGAUUGUAAACUACUGUCCCCAGGGACGAAGAUGACGGUACCUGGGGAGGAAGCUCCGGCUAACUACGUGCCAGCAGCCGCGGUAAUACGUAGGGAGCGAGCGUUGUCCGGAAUUACUGGGUGUAAGGGGAGCGUAGGCGGGGAUGCAAGUUGGGUGUUAAAUCUACCGGCUCAACUGGUAGUCGCACUCAAAACUGCAGCUCUUGAGUGAAGUAGAGGCAGGCGGAAUUCGUGGUGUAGCGGUGAAAUGCGUAGAUAUUAGGAGGAACACCAGUGGCGAAGGCAGCCUGCUGAGCUUUUACUGACGCUGAGGCUCGAAAGUGUGGGGAGCAAACAGGAUUAGAUACCCUAGUAGUC